GACGAACGCUGGCGGCGUGCUUAACACAUGCAAGUCGAACGGAAAGGCCCUGCUUUUGUGGGGUGCUCGAGUGGCGAACGGGUGAGUAACACGUGAGUAACCUGCCCUUGACUUUGGGAUAACUUCAGGAAACUGGGGCUAAUACCGGAUAGGAGCUCCUGCUGCAUGGUGGGGGUUGGAAAGUUUCGGCGGUUGGGGAUGGACUCGCGGCUUAUCAGCUUGUUGGUGGGGUAGUGGCUUACCAAGGCUUUGACGGGUAGCCGGCCUGAGAGGGUGACCGGCCACAUUGGGACUGAGAUACGGCCCAGACUCCUACGGGAGGCAGCAGUGGGGAAUAUUGCACAAUGGGCUGAAGCCUGAUGCAGCAACGCCGCGUGCGGGAUGACGGCCUUCGGGUUGUAAACCGCUUUCGCCUGUGACGAAGCGUGAGUGACGGUAAUGAGUAAAGAAGCACCGGCUAACUACGUG
rnacentral:rRNA from 1 species